CUGCUGGGCAUGAUUCCCAUUCAUCAUCUCAUUCAGCAUCAUCAUGUUGGGCAUCUGGCCAUUGCCCAUCAUUGGCUUCGUCUUGGUGGGUGCUGGGGGGUAGGCAUCAUCAUAAUCAUCAAAAUCCUCAUCAUCCAAAAAAUCAUCAUCUUCAUCAUAAUCGAAAUCAUCAUCAGUGAAUUCCUCAUCCUCGGGCAGAAUGAAUUUCCCUCCUCCUUUCUGGUUCAGGAUCGGACCCGGGUCCUUGGAGGGCAUCUUGAGGUCCUUGAAUUGGGGCAGCUUGAGAUCUUGCAACGCUUUCAUCUGCUGGAGCUGCUGAAGCUGCUGCUGAAGCUGCUGCUGCUGGUUCAGAUGUUGAAUCUGCUGCGGGGUCAGAUGUGGAAGCUGCUGCUGGUUCGGGAGGUUCUGAC
rnacentral:lncRNA from 1 species